GCACUCGCAGGAGGUUGCGCUCCAAUCCUCUGCGCUGGUUGGUUUCUGAGGGCGUCAACACUCCUAGACACAAACCUGAUGGGGGUGCUGGGUCCCUCUGAGCACCCCUUCCCCAAACCUUGCUCCCCCCCCCCGCGGGGCAGCAGAAGUUCUCUCCUGGGAUGGUAGAGCCCUCCCCUUGACUCCCCCUAUAACCCGGACCCCAGGAAGGGAAGAUGGAGAGAAGGAAGGUUCAGGAAGAUUUCGGGGCUGGCUGGUUUUGGAAAGGCCACUAGCCGCCCCUCAUCCCUAUCCCACGCCAUCCCACCCCAACCGGCCACUCCGGGAAGGGGCGGCCUCUCCCCGCCCCCAGGGCCGCGGCCCGCUCCCUCCUCCCGCAGGCUGGAGCCUGGGCCAAGUGGGCGCGCCCGGCCCGGGGCGGCCGGGAUCCGGUGUCGGCUGCAGCUGGCAGUGCGGCGGGCGCUGGCGCCUGAGCAGCGGCCGGCGGGGCCGGCUAUUAAUAACGCGCCCGCUGAGCCUGGGGUCGCGCAGCCAUGGCCAGCCCGGAGCUCCGGCGCGGCGGGGAAGGCGCCGCCCAGGCCGCGAGAGAAACAAGAGCAGAGUCCAAUUCUCCUCUUCAAGAAGAGAAUCCUGAAUCCUGGAAUGAGUCUAGAAGUUACUUCUUUGUGAACCCAGAAGUUACACUAUCUUCGGAGGGAACUGUGAACCUAGAAGACAUUCUUUACCUUGAUGACACAGGAGACUUUGAAGAGACACCACUCUACGUAGAAGAGACAGAGAAGCCAGAGGAGACACUUUAUAUUGAGGAGCCCAGGCAGCCAGAGGAGGCACUGUAUGUGGAAGAGCUUGCAAGUCCAGAAGAAUAUGUGGAAGAGACUGUGAAGCCAGAUGAGAUACAGUUUGUGGAGCAGACUGCAGAGCCAGCAAAGAGUCCCAGCCCAGGCCUGAUUGUUUGUGAUGGAGAGAUGGUGGCAAAAGAAGAGAAAUGUUGCCCUGAGGAGAGCCUCAGAGCAGGGUUAAGCCCCAGCACAGAGGACAACCUAAGCAUGGCAGACCUGGAACUGCUAGAGGGCCGUUUCCAGCAGUGUGUGCAAGCAGUGGCCCAGCUGGAAGAGGAGCGGGAUCAGCUCAUCCAUGAACUUGUGCUGCUCCGGGAACCAGCUCUGCAGGAGGUACAGCAAGUCCAUCAGGACAUCCAGGCUGCCUACAAGCUGCAUGCCCAGGCAGAGCUGGAGAGGGAUGGGCUCAGGGAGGAGAUCCGGCUGGUCAAACAGAAGUUGUUCAAGGUGACCAAGGAAUGUGUGGCCUACCAGUACCAGCUGGAGUGCCGCCAGCAGGAUGUGGCUCAGUUUGCUGAUUUCCGGGAAGUGCUAACUACUAGGGCAGCCCAGCUCUCGGAGGAACUGGCCCAACUCCGGGAUGCCUAUCAGAAGCAGAAGGAGCAGUUAAGGCAACAACUAGAAGCACCUCCAAACCAAAGGGAUGGGCACUUUAUCCAAGAAAGCCGCCGGCUGUCUGCCCAGUUUGAAAAUCUCAUGGCAGAGAACCGCCAGGGCCUGGAGGAGGAGUAUGAACCUCAGCUGCUGCGGCUCCUGGAGAGGAAAGAAGCAGGGACCAAAGCUCUACAGAAAACCCAGGCUGAGAUCCAGGAGAUGAAGGAGGCUCUGAGACCCCUGCAAGCAGAGGCCCGGCAGCUCCACCUGCAAAACAGGAACCUGGAGGACCAGAUCACACUUGUGAGGCAAAAACGAGAUGAAGAAGUGCAGCAGUACAAGGAACAGCUGGAGGAAAUGGAAGAACGACAGAGGCAGUUAAGAAGUGGAGUGCAACUCCAGCAACAGAAGAACAAAGAGAUGGAGCAGCUAAGGAUCAGUCUUGCUGAAGAGCUCUCAACUUAUAAGGCUAUGCUUCCCAAGAGCCUGGAACAGGCUGAUGCUCCCACUUCUCAGGCAGGUGGAAUCGAGACACAGUCUCAAGGUGAUCUUUGUGGGUAACAGAGUGGUAUUUGUAUUGUUUCUGCUUUUCUAACAAUACUAAUUAUUGUCUUUUUUUUCCCCCCACCCCUAAUGUGACCUAAUUACCAUUAGGAAAUCUGUAAACAGAUAAAACACCUAGGCUCUGAGCAUUCUCAGUUCUUUACCCUACCCCACCCACACCUCCUGUUCAGUUUCCUCAGUAUAAAUCAGAAGGCAGCUGUGCUAUCAAAUUCAGACCAUGACAAAGGUGGCCAACAAGAGGGCUAAAUUAAGGGCUGUUUAGAAAUGUAUGGCCAAAUCUGUAAUCCAGAAACAAAAAAAACUUAUUAGCAAAGGAUCACUGAAUACCCUUGUGACACACUUCUUCCCAAAUGGACGAGAGUACCAGAAUUUGAUGAGCAAUUCACCUGUGGAAAUUGCAAUAUUGGCUUAACUGUAUAAAAAGAUUUUAGGAGUGGCUGGAAGCAGAACACCAGUCAACUUUUAGCUGGAUCCUACUUUGUAGGCUGCUGAUACUGAUCUCAAAACACUGAGGAAUGGAAAAAUGCCUUUUAUCUGCCAGCAGCAACGCUCACAUGCAGAGUAAAUGAUGAAUGUAUGGACACAUCUUGAAGUAUUGUGAAAAAUGUAUUUUGCCUUAUGUUCACCCAAACCAAAAACAUGUUUGGAACAAAACUGGGGUCAAAAAGGCAACUGUUAGAAUUCUUUUGUGCCAUGAGUGUUAGAUUUUAAAUGAAUCCUCUUAUAUAGUUUACUUUUUCUUAAGGGCUAUACAUAUUCACAUGGUAUAUUCUUAAAAAUUGUGUCAAAAUAAUUUUCACUAUACUCUGAAAUAACUGACUUGGAGAAAAGGAACCCAUCCAGAUUUGAACCUCAUGGUGUAAGAUUUCAGAUUUCCCAAAGACCUUUACAGUUUUGGGGUCUAUUCCGCCAAAACAAAACUAAGUGACUGGAAAGAAUCAGGCAUGUUAUCUUGUUUUGGCAUUUGGUGAUAGAGGUUAGAAACAACAGGUUCUAAAAUCCUUUAAGUACAAACUCCAGUGAAAAACAUACUAGGGAGAGGCAACCCUGUGAGAUAAGCCUUAAACACCUUUCCCAAAUUUAAAUUCUGCCUUAAACACACUGCCUUUGAAAAAUUUUUAGAGUCUGUGUUGUUCUCUAGGGUUAGACUUCAAAAAGAUGUCAUUUUAUUGCACCUUAGUCUGUAUAUCUCUAGUUCUGUGUUUUAUGUCUUGCACUUUUCCCUAGGAAGGAGUAAAGCUCUUUUCUAUAGCUCUUGGCCUAUUAUAUUUAAUUCUACUCUUGAUAGCUAGGGGAUGGGUGUUUGAUGGAUGUUAUAUACUAAAUAAAACCCAUUGGCAUAGGGCUAUGUAGAAAAGCAAUUUAUUCCAUUAUAAGCACUUACACAGUUAGUCAUGGGAGUAAUAGGCCUGCUGAUAAAACAGGUCACCCAAAAUGCAGAUGGUAUCAAACUAGUGGUCAAGGACCAACUCCUAAAAAAAAAAAAAAAAAA